rnacentral:lncRNA from 1 species
CUCACAAGGUGGCCAUGGCAACCGAGAGCAGAAUAAUAUCAAUAAUAAGCUCACUGCAUAAUAAGGUUGUCAGUCCUACAAAUCAAAGUCUGCAGCUAAAUCAGGUAUACCACCCCAGCUAGUUACCAGCAGAUACGGUUUCAUGAAGGACCGGCUAACUAGCCAUAUUGAACUGUGGAGUGAGCCUGUGGGUGAGCUCCCCUCCCGCUAGCCUCCUCCUCACUCUCCCCUCUGUGUGCCCUGCUGCAUCCUGCCUAGAUGCAAGAGCAGCUCACCCGCCGCCGGAGGCUUCCACCUUGGCUCCCAGGGGGACAUCCUGCAAAAUGAAUCAGCAGCCAUCCUGAGCAGGCUGAUUAAAAUGAAAAUGGCAAGGCACAUGUCUGGGCGGAACUGGAGCUCGGCUUUGUUGCCUGUCUGACAAGCACGCUCAAUAUAGCUCUUGCUAAUAAUGGCUUACUGCCUUUCGGUUUUUAAAAAGGUAUCACCCUUUCCUCUUAACCGACUGCUACUCGCGUGUGUGUGUGUGUGUGUGCACGCGCGCGCGCGCGAGCGCGCGUGUGCUUCACAUGUGUGUGCCACGGGGGUUGUGGGGGGACGGAUUGCUCGAUUCUAAUUUUCCACUGCUCACAUGCAGACAGCCCGCCUGACAACGCUGUUAUUUUAAAACUGAACUUAGUUGUCUUUCUUCUGAGGAAAGUGAUGGUUAAGUCUUGGAUGUGAUGUGGAGGUUGACAAAAACAGGGAUUUCUAGC